UAAAACAUCAUCUUUACCGGUUUUACUUAUUACAGAGAUGGGUCAACUCAAUGGGGCCAAUGACGCGAGAGAAGUGAAGCAUGAGGCAACACUGCCUUGUGGCUUCCAUUUUAUGUCACUGCGAAAACCUUCCUGAAUAUAACAGGAACGUGGAUGAUUCUCAACACUUGCAGGCAGAACACUUACGUUACAGAAUCCAGUGCAGUUCGUUAGACGUUGGCUGAACACGACCACUGGAACAUAAAUUCUCCUUGGAUAUCGAAGACCCAGAGGAGAAAAAAAAAAGAACUUAAGUAUGCAGAAAGCUUGUGAAUAUUCUUCAAAGGUAACAUCUGACAUGAUGCUCUCAUACAUCUAAUCUGGAGCAAGAGUUUUAAAUCAAAGACCAACAGGCAGGACUCUGUAAGAAACACGAGUCACUCACAUUUUCUGAACACACUGAAAAGCACGUGAAAUGAGAACAAGACGGUGACAUUUGCAUCCCUAUGCAAACACCAACACCUCCACAUGAAUCUGUAUCAGAGACUCUACAAACACAGAAACACAUGAUGUAACCUGGGCCCAUAGACAGCAAACACAUGCUUGAGACGGUCUCUAGACAACACAAACACCAUAAACGUCUGAAGACUUUCUACGACUGCUCCUGACACACAACACAGACAGAUACUGAUCAAAGUACAGAUUUACAAAACCACACUGUAUCAAGAUGACACGGGCCCUACGUGAUCUAUGGGGAGGAAGAGGAAGAAAGGCACUGAGGGGGGUGCAAUACAGAUGCAUAUACAGAGAGAUAGAAGGCAGUCAACGCAUGCGCUGGUGUGAACACUUACCUACCUACAUUUGAAUUUCAAUGGUUCCAAGUUCUUCAGGUCACAUUCAUGGAAACUCCAAAGAAUGGAGAUCUGGAGAGAAGAUCUCAAGUUGAGGAACCUUUUUCCUCCUGAGUUUUAAGUUUCAUGUUUAAAACACUGGUAUAGACUAUAGGUGCACAAAAGCAGGCUGAAACACCAAUAACUCAGUUGUACUAAUCUAUUACUAAAAACAGGUUUCUUAGGUUUAUAACAUGUUUAGCUUAUUCCUAAGUCUCCUGCAGACAAUACUCAAAGAUUCUUAACCCUACUGGUGAGACUUAAAGACGAGAGUUUAUCAAAAGGAAACACCCACUCUAUUAGUAUUGUGACGGCCUAUACAUCGGUGUUGUGUCUAUGGUAUUUCCGUUAGUCAUAGAAUACAGGUCGGGUAUUGCAUUCGCACUCUAAGCUAAGGUAAAUGAGCAGCACAUGCUGUGCUGUGAAAAGCAGAAGGCAGAAGUCUCGAUGAAAUGUUCUAUUACCAACUUGUUGAAAAGCCAAGGGAACAAACGUAACAGACUCUGAAGAAAACCACCCCUGACUUGAGGGGACUGCACUCCCCAUACUAGGAACACUAAAAAUCAGAAACGCUUUUGGUGAUGUAGCAUUUCAGGUCUCAGGCUGGAUUUAGCUCAUUACUGCUGAAAUGAAAGCUGAUGGAGACACAGCCACUAAGAGGGUGAGUUACUUGGCUACACAAGUGCCCCCCUGUGCGAGUAAGGACUCCGCUCCACUUUAUGGAUUACCAGGAACAUGGGGAAGAAAGUGUUAUUCUAAACCCAGUGCCAAGGGUAUUAAAAACUACAGUUAAUGUCUUAAAAACCAACCUCCACUCCGUUAUUUUAAGAGGUUUUUAAAAAACGAAACACACAUAUGUGUUUCACAUUCAGAAUGCCCCAUUAAUUCCCAAGCUAUGUAUUUCAGUGACACAUGGGAAGUUCAGAAAGACAGAACGCUAAUCAAGAGGCUUUCCUCUUGAGAAAAUUGGGAGGUUAACCAACAUACUCAUGCUAAAAGUUAAUAAAGGUUAAUGAAAUAAAAAGAGAAUUCAGAGUUCUUCCAUGGUUUUGAAAAUAAAGUAAUCUCAACACAAUAUGCUUUGUCAUUCAUGAAAGUUCUAAACGUGGAGGACACUGCCACUCACAGGAUAGGAAUCUACAGCAGCAACCCCAGGGACAGGCUUAUAACAGGAAGUGGUCAGCAUCCCAUUGUUCAAUUGGGUCAUCCCAUUGGUCAGUCCAAGUUGUGUCCCCAAUCCAGUAAGUGGCAACUGUCUCUUCAUGUACUAGCCAAUUUUUCUCAGUAUCAUCUUUAGGUUAAAUUACUGAGUGCAAACAAACUCUAGUUCUAUGGGCAUGUUUACUUUGAUUUUAAAAGUAUGUUCUCAUCUCAGAAACUGGCUAUUAAGGUUAAAACUCUUUUCAGAGCAGCGUUAAUAGAUGUGACAUAAAAAAACCCCUCUUAUUAAUAAAAAUAAUCAACAGUUCUUUCCUGCUUUUGGCACUGCUAAACUAACUUCAGGUUUUGUUUAGCAAACUAAGCUACAUUCCAAGUUAAUGUAUAUCUUAGCAUGAAUAGUUUACAAACAAGGGUAUAAACUAUUUAGUUUUCAUUUUCGUAAGAAACAGAUAUUGCCUUUUAAAAGUAUUUUAUUCAUUAUCCUAGAUAAUGUAGAUAUUACACUUUAAAAUUAGAUAUUCAAUCCAUUUACCUGCAAACUUCAUUUUCUUUUAUUAUUACAUAAUAACACUCUAUUAUCUAAACUUACCAUAUUUUCUUUAUUUAGUCUUUAGUAUUUAGGUUGAGGGACAGCUCGGUUGUUACCAGUUUUUGGUUAUUAUAAAUAGAGUGGUAAUGAACAUGGUUGAGAAAGUGUCUCCGUGACAGGAUGAAACAACCUUUCCAUAUAUGCUCAAGAGUGGUAUGGCUGGUACUAUUGAUUUGCAUUGCUCUGAUGGCUAAGAAUGUUGCCCAUUUAAGUGUUUAGCCAUUUGAGUUUCUUUUUUUGACAAUUCUGCUUACGUAUGUAGCCCAUUUUUUUAGAUUGGUUAUCUGAUAUCUUGCUAUGUAGUUUUUUGUUCUUUUUUUUUUUUGUAGUUCUUUAUGUAUGUUGGAUAUUAGCCUUCUAUUGGAUACAUAGUCCUAUUGGAUAUGUAUUGGUGAAAAUGCUGUCCCAUUUUUCAGGUUGCUGCUUUGUUGAUAUGAUAAUGUCCGUCACUAGGUGGAGCAUCUCAUUUCAGAAGGCUCCGUUUAUUAACUGUUGACCUUAGCACCUGUUUUAAUGCUCUUCUGUUCAGAAAUGCUUUCCCUGUACCAACACAUUCAAGGUUCUUCUCCACUUCUCUUCUAUCAGGCUCAUUGCAUCUGGCUUUAUGUUGAGAUCUUUGAUCCACUGGGACUUGAGUUUUGUUCAAGGCGAUAAGUAUGGUAUUCUACAUGCAGACACCCAAUGUGACCAACACCACAUUUUUUUAUUUAUUGUGUAUUUCUGGUUUCUUUAUAAAAAAUAAGGCAUCCAUACAUGUCUGGAUUCAUGUCUGGAUCUGCUGUUCAAUUCCACUGAUCAACAUGUCUAUUUUUAUAUUAAUGUCACACUGUUUCUAUUACUGUAGCUCUGUAGUACAACUUAAUAUCCAGGGGAGUGACUUCCAGGAGAGUGAAACAAAUUUUCAGGAUUGUUUUAGCGAUCCUUCUUAUUUUUGUUUGUGCAUCCAUACAAAGCUGAAUAAUUGUCCUUCCAAGAUCUGUAAGGAAAUGUCUUAGAAUUUUGAUGGGAAUGGAAGUAAAUCUGAAGAUUGCUUCUGAUAGGGUGGUCAUUUGUCUUCUAUUAAUCCUACCCAUCCAUGACUAUGGGAGGCCUUUCCAUCUUCUGAUAUCUUCAAUUUCUUUCUCCAAUGUUUUGAAAGUUUUGUCAUAGAAGUCUUUCACUUGCUUGCCUAGAAUCAUUCCAAGACGUUUUGUAUUAUUUGAGGCUAUUUGUGAAAGGUUGCUGUUUCCCAAGAUUUCCUUCUCAGUCUGUUUGUCAUUUGUCUACAGUAAGGGUUCUCAUUUUCUUUGCUUUUCUUUCUUUCUUUCUUGAGUUAAUUUUGCAUUCAACCACCCUGAUCAACGUGCUUAUCAGCAUUAGUUUUCCAGUGGGAUUUUUAGGGUUGUUUAUAUAUACAAUCCUAUUAUUUGCACAUAAAGAUAAUUUUGACUUCUUCCUUCCCAGUUUGUAUCCCCUGCUCUCUUUCAGUAGUUGUACUGCUUUAACUAAAACUUCAAGUAUUCCACUGACUAGUACAGAGAAAGUAGACAGCCUCAAGUUGCUCAUGAUUUUACUGGAACUACUGUGAGUUUAUCUCCUUUGAACUUCAUGUUGGUCAUUAUCUAUGGGCUGGUUGUAAACUUCCUUUAUUAUGUCGAUGUAUGGCCCUUGUAUAAAAGUCUCCAGGAAUUUUAUCAUCGAGUAAAGAUUUUAAUCCAAGGCCUUUCUGAUGAAAUGAUCAGGUGACUUUUGUCUGUUUAUACGGUAGAUUACGUUUAUAGAUUUACCUACAUUCAUCUGUGGAAUGAAGCCUAGUUGAUCAUGGUAGAUGUUAAUUUUGGCAUACCUUUAAAUUCAAUUUGCAAGCAUUUUGUUAAGAAAUUUUGCGUCUGUGUCCAUAAGGGAAAUUGGUCUGUAAUUUCCUUUAUUGGGUCUAUGGUUUGUUAUCAGAAUAACUGAAGCCUCAUUAAACAAGCUGGGCAAUGCGGCUUAUGAGCCACUCUGUGCAACAACUUAAAAUAUUGGUAUUGAUUUCCCUUUCAAAGUAUGGAAGAAUAUGCACUAAAACCAUCAGGCCCUGAGCUUACUUUUGUUGGAAGACUGCUAAUUGCUACUUCUAAUUCAUGAGCAGUUAUAGGUCUGUUUAAACUACUUAUCCAAUCAAGAUUCAACUUUGGUAAGAGGUAUGUACAGAGGAAAUUACCCAUUUUGUUUAGAUUUUCCAGUUUGGUCUUUGAAGUAUGUCCUUAUGAUUCUCUGGAUUUCCUUGGUGUCUGUUGUUACCUUUUUAUUGCUAGUUUUGUUAAUUUGGCUAUUUUCUUUCCACCUUCCACUUAAUUUGAAUAAGGGUUUGUCAAUAUUACUGAUUUCCUCAAAGAAUCAAAUCUUUGUUUUAUUGAUUUUUUUUGUUGUUACUUCUAUUUAUUUCAGAACUGAGUUUGAUAUGGUUUAUUGAUAUUUACUCCUUUUGGGUGUGAUUUGUUCCUUUUGUUCUAAAGCUUUCAUGUGUUCUGUUGAAGUUACUAGCAUGAGAUGUCUCCAUUUUUUUUUUUAAAAUUUAACCAUUUAAUGCUAUGACUUUUGCCACUUAGAAUUGUAUUCAUUGUGUCCCAUAAGUUUAGGUAUGUUGUUUAUUCAAUCUCAUCAAUUCUAGAAAGUUUUAAGUUUCUUUCUUAAUUUCUGUCUUAACCCAUUUUUUUUAUUUGAUUCAGUAGUGAGUUGUUCAGUCCCAUGAGUGUGUAAGCUUUCUGUUGUUUCUGUUAUGUCCAGCUCUAAUCCAUGGGAGUGGCGAUAGGAUGCAGAGUGUUAUUUCAAUCUUCUGUAUCUGUCCCGAGACUUGCUCUCUGUUCAAGUUUGUGGUCAAUACUGGACGUGUGGGGAAGGUGUAUUCUUUUGUGAUUGGGUGAAAUGUUCGGUACAGACCAAUUGUUAGCUCCAGCACUUCUGGUACUCCUCCAAGUCCAGCCCCUCUGCGGCAGAUCACCUGCUGUGCCCCCCCCUCCAAUCCUUAAUAUAUUGACUGGUCUUUACCCCUGCAGCUCUUAACAUUUUUUCUUUGUUUUGUAUGUUUAGUGUUUUGACUAUUAAGUGCUGAGGGUACUUUCUUUCUGGCCUACACUUGUUUUGUUUUCUUUAUGCUUAUUGUAUCUUCAUACGCAUCUCCUUGACUGAUUAGGGUAUUUUUCUUCUAUGAUUUUGCUAAAGAUCUUUUCUGUCCCUUUGACCAGUGUUGCUUUUCCUUCUUCUAUUCCAAUCACUUUUAGAUUUGUUCUUUUCAUUGUGUCCCAGAUUUCCUGGAUUUUUUUUUCCUGCCAGGUAUGUUUUAGAUUUAACAUUUUCUUUGACAAAGGUAUCCAUUUCUUCUAUUGUGUCUUCAAGGUCUGAGAGUCUCUCUUUGUUCUGCUGGUGAGGUUCCUGCUUGAUCCUAAAUUUUUCAUGUCCAGAUUUCCCUCAGUUUGGGUGAUCUUUAUUGAUACCAUUUCCACUUUCAGGUCUGGAACAAUUUUCUUCUAUUCCUUCCAAUGUGUGUUUUCAUAAAAUUUCUUUAAAGCAUUUUCCCAUUUCUUCUUUAAGGGCCUCUAUUGUAUCGUAAAGGCUACUUUAAGGUCUUUUAUUCUGCUUCAUCUAUGGUGCAAUACUCGGAGCCUGCUGUAGUUGGGGUGCUAGCUUCUAUUGUUCUGACUGUUAGUGCGUUUUUACAAUGGCAUCUAGGCAGCUGUGUUUGGAAGCAUUGUACUUGUAGGUGCUAAUAUCUGGUCUUAUCUUGGUUGGGCGGGUGUUCUGUUCCUUGGCUUCUGUUGUGGUCUCUGGUUCUUGUGAGGUGGCUGUGUGUUGCUUGGUAGGAAAUUCUUCUGGAAUCCUCAUAGGUAUGUUGAUUGGAGGUUCCUGAUUAAAACGAGUUUCUAGGUAUUGAAUGGUGAUACUUAGGAAUGAGGGUAUGCUAGGAGGUAAGGGAGUUCCCAGAACGCAGAUGUUCUACCAGAAUCUCCUCAGUCCUCUGGGAAUGGGGUCAGAAAAUAAGGACAGGCCACAGCAGAAAGUCUGCUACAGAGCUGGAUAUAAGAAUGGGUGACUAGAUUUGGAGGACUGUAGAGAUGUGAAGAUCUGGAGUUAGCCUACCUACUUUCCUCACCAAAUUGAACUGAGGGUUCCCAGGGAAUGUCUGUUGGAAUUAGGGACUGGAAUAAAGCAAUGAGUCAGGUGAAGGGAAAGAUCUGUACCAUCUACUGGAAAUGGGAAGCAACAGCAGGUACUCUACUGUAGAGGUAGAUGAGACUGGGGGAUGACACUUAGCAGGUGGGGAGGUGAAGAUCUCUAGUUAGCCUACCUGCUUCCUUGGGUGUAGUGGACCUUGGGUUCCCAGGAAAUGCCUCCUAGUGUUGGGAGCUGGGAUAAAACUGCACAUGUCGGAAGGAGGAUCUGUGUGAUCCACUGGACAUGUAUGUGCAGUGCUGUGCUUAGUUGGAGGUGAGCCAGGGGUCAGGUGCUAAUAUCUGGUCUUAUCAGCAAUGAGUGGAGAGGAGGGGAAGAUGUGUGUGACUCACUGAAGAGGGGUUGGAAGCAGGAGGCCAUAGCAGGUGGUCUGCUGCAGAGGGACUGGAUCUAAAGGAGCUGAGGGAGCUGUAAGGAGCUGCUGCUAGUCCUUCCACUUCCCUGGCCUGAGUGUGGAACAUCCAUUCAUCCCUAAGGAACUUUUUUUUUUUCGGAGCUGGGGACCGAACCCAGGGCUUUGCGCUUGCUAGGCAAGCGCUCUACCACUGAGCUAAAUCAAAUCCCCAACCCCAGGAACUUUUUUAAAAAAAGUUACUUAAUCCCACUUAUACAAUGAGUCUUAUAAUUAAAAGUGCAAUUUGGGAAUUCUCAGGUUUUUGUGAAUGGUGGUGGUGGAUUUUCAUGUGAAAAUCUUGGAAAUCACACCCAAAGGCCUUGAGUAAAUCACAUCUGAACUUGAGGCAAAUACAGAGAAAACAGAAAACAGGUUAGAGAUACAAAGCCACACAGCCUUUGUUCCUGUGUUGCCCUCAGAGGGCACAUGUGUAGCAUUAUAUUACAUAUGUGUGUAGCAUAUUACAUGUGUGUGCAGCAUUACAUUACAUAUGUGUGUAGCAUUACAUUACAGAUGUGUGCAGCAUAUUACAUGGGUGUGUAGCAUUACAUUACAGAUGUGUGCAGCAUUACAUUACAUAUGUAUACAGCAUUAUAUUACAUAUGUGUGUAGCAUCACAUUACAUAUGUGUGUAGCAUAUUACAUGUGUGUGCAUUACAUUACAUGUGUGUACAGCAUUAUAUUACAUAUGUGUGCAGCAUCACAUUACAUAUGUGUAUAGCAUUACAAUGUUAAAUAUCCAGCAAUAACUGCAGGAACACCUCAGAGGCUAGCAAUGCCAACAGUUAUUACUCUUGUACUGCAACGCCAAACUUUAAGUGUGAGGUUAUUGAAAUCACUGACAAAGUAGCUCAACCAUAGCAUUUUACUACGAUAAAAGUUUAAAAUCUCUGUACUCAGAAGUUGAUGUUAUAAUGGGUAAAGCCAACUUGACCACAUGGGAUUAAGAACAAAACAUCUGUAAAUAAAAAGGCAUUUGUAGUGGAACUUCAGGAAUUCUGUCUGAUUCAGCAAAGGGUUAAAAAAAUAUUCUUAUAUAAGAAGCAAAAAUCCAGAAUUCUUUAAACAUCAAAACCAACAGCUAGGAGGUAUUUAAUAAAGUGCAGUGGUUAGCAUAGCAUAAAGCAUAAAAUCCCAACAACUCAGCCACACAGGGCAAACUCCCCUCACUUCCACUUAACGCACUAGGACAUUUCAACCGACAACUGCGAUUUAAACGACGUGAACUUAAAGGUACGUGGCCCAUGUCUUUAUAAGCUUAGAAAAUGUUUAGAAUACAUUCAAUGUACUACACUGGAAUAUACAGUUUUACCUUUUGAGGGUUUUCUUUUCUGUCCUACAGAUUUUAUAUGUGUGUGUGUAUAUGUGUGUGUGUAUAUAUAUGUAUAUAUAGAAUGAAUAUAUUAAAUAAAUAUAUUUAAUUUAUAAUUUUAAUUUAAUGUUUUAAAUAUAUAUUUAAAAACUAGUAUGGAGAAAAUAAAUAGAAACACCACAUCAUCUUAAUUAAACUUUGAAAGUAAUGCCUUACACGAAUUUUUCUCAAAACCUGACAUUUAGGAAAUGCUCCCAUGGGCUAUGAUCAAUGAACACUAACACACAGGCAUAAACACAUCUUGGGGCAGAAUGUGUUUUAAUCAGUUAUCAUUUAGUAUUCAUUUUUUACUUUUAUUCUAAAUGUGAAGAAAGAGAAGCUAAGCCAAGUCACUGGAUUAGAUUCACUAAGGAAAAAAGUUUCACGAUAAAGGGAAAUUAUUUUAGGAGGGAGUGGGCAGAGGAAAGGUUUAUUUAUUACAAGUCCUAAUCGCAGCCCAUCACUGACUAAGGCAGCAACUGAAGCAGAGGCCAUGGAGGAGUGCUGCUUACUGCCUUGUUCAGCUUAAUUUUAUAUAAGACCCAGGCCCACAGAGGCCACCACCCACCGUGGACUGGGCCCUUCUUCAUUAAUUGUUAAUUAUGAUAAUGACCCACAGAUUUUCUACCAGCAAUUCUCACCAAAAUAUUUUCUCAGUUCUGGUUCCCUCUUCUAAAUGACUCUAGCUGGACUCCGGCUGAUAAAACCUAACAGGCACACUCUAAGAUCACUCCAGUUCACUGCUCUACACCACUGGGCUAUAACAGAUAUUACACAUAACCACUUCUACACACACAAUACUUGGAUUACAACAAGGAUGGUAAAUGUCUUCUUUUAAAAACAUAGAAUAACUGUGGCUAUUAUGAUUAAAGUUAUUUAAAACAGAAGAAAUUCUUUGUGCAUGGUAUUUUCUUUUAAUUAAUAAUUUUCCAUAUAAUAUAUUUCAUUUCCCCAAUCUCCUCCUAGAUCCCCCACCUCCCUACCCACCCAACGUUGUGUUCUUUUUCUCUCAAAAUGAAAGCUAAACGAAACCUACAGAAGCACAAGUAGUAGCUAAAAUUUCACGUGUCAUGAUCUGUGCGUUUUUAAGUGUGUGUGUGAGCGUGUGCAUGACCACUGUGCAGCAUGGGGUGAGAGGGCAUUUUUAGGAGUUGGUUCUCUCUUGCCACCUUUCGGAAUCCAGAGAUCAAGUGAGGUCGUCAGGCCUGCUAGCACAUACCUCCCUACCCACUGAGCAUUCUAGUCGGCCUGGCAACAAUCUUUAAAUCUGAGACAGAAAAUACUUCAGUCAAAUGAUUUAAGGACUAAGUUUAAUACUUAAAUUCAGUGACAAACCCUUUAAUAAAGCACCCAAGGAAUAAAGUUAUCUAUAUCAUAAGACGGCCCCCCUUCACCAAUGGCACUACUACAGAUUAGAGAAUGCUAGCGCUAGUGUUUACUGAAGGCAUACAGUCAAAUACAUGGCUGCUGGAUGUAUACGUUAAGGUCACAUGAAAAAGCCAAUGACUGUCUGUCUUUAUUUUAUAGCACAGCUUAUGUUUAUGAAAUUCAGUUUUAUUGCUUAUCACCAUUUAGAACUGUGCUUUAAAGUUGUAACAACCCUUCCCUUCUAUUUGUGUUUUUCUAACACAAGUGUAUUAAGAAAAAUAUUAAGCCAGUCAUGGUGGUGCGCACCAUUAAUCAUAGUACCAGGGAGGAAGAAGCAGUGAUCUCUGUGAGUUUGAGGGCAGUAUGGUCCAUAUAGAAAGUUCUGGGCCAUUUAGGGCUACACAGUGAGACCCUGUAUCAAAACUGUCCAACUAACCAACUGAAAAAUAUUAACCCUUUAAGUAGAGUUUCUAUUAGUUAUUGAUUGAACAUGCCACUUGUAACUGACAGUGGUGACCAUGAAUGGACAGGUUCCCACACAAGGUGUUAUCCUGAUCUCUAAGUGAUUUGCUUAAGGAUAAAUGUUUGUGGUUUCCAGGUAUACAUAUAUAGACUUACUAAGUCUGUGGAUAACAUGGGAAAUGUCACUUGUUUUCAGUGUCCUUUCCUGCUCUAUCUGGAUGCGGAAUACCUACUAAUAGAAGAAUAAAGAAUUUAUAGUGUUUCUAACUUACAGAAUGAAGGGCUGCAUUUGGACAGUUUUCUUCCCACUACUGGCUUUAUUAAUAAAAACUUUAGGUAAUAAUAAAGUAUCUAGUACCUGGAUACUAUAUAUCAAAGGAACUAUGGAAUGGAUGAUGGUAUGGAAGUGACAUGGGUUCAGGAGGACCUUGACGUUUUAGUUUUUGCCCAGGCCAGUGAUGUGCAGCAUGUCUCUUGGGAUGCUGGGCAUGAGAAGCAGUAGGCCACAGUCCUCCACCAGCUCUGUGCUCAUGGUUUAAAUAAGUGGAACUCUGAGGUGCUGGACACGAUCUUCAGUGGAUUAAAUGGAUCAAGUGUGAUGCCCAUGUAUGCCGCUGUCAGGUCUAUGAUGGACUGACUGGAAUACACUCCACGGCCAGUCAGAGAGCACCCGUGUUAACAGCGGAACACUGAGCUAGAAUAUUUAGUGCUCUCAAACCACAGCAUUUUAGCAAGUGUCAACAAACUGGGAAAAAAAAAUCGUCAAAAAUGAUGUAAAAUAUCUACGAUUACACGAUCUGAGUCCCUCAUUUAAAACUCGAGCUGUAUCCAGGUAAUAGAAGGCUACAUUUCCCCAAGAUGAAUGGCAAUUCCUUUACAGGCUUUUCUAUCAAAUCAAUAUUCAGGUUAUUUUGCAAGGCUAUAUACUGUUGGAAUGUUUGCCACAUUAAAAAGUGAGCACGAUAUUUUAAAUUAUUAAGUGACUUUUGUAACUAAACUUACCCUGUCACAUGUAAAUAUGGUUUUAUAAUUAUUACUCUAACAUUUCUGGCUCUGCAGGAUACUUUUUACAACCCAGACGCUCUACUAUAAGAAGUCCUAACUGCUUCAUCGCUGGGUAAAAAAAUAUAGGAAUAGGUCACAGCUUAAAGGCAGAGGCCUAAGCCAGUGUGAUAAUAAACUGCUAACUUUCAGUCGUGUAUAGUUCUAUCGAGCAGAACAGAAAUGCUUCUACCGAACUGCUUCGUUCCUUAUUCACUGAACUUAAGUCCUGCUAUACUGACAGCUUCCUGACACGGACAUGAGUAUUUGAAUGAACAUACUGCAUAGUGUCAAUGCAUUCUAGGAUACAUAGUGAAUACAUAAUUCAAAAAAGCCGCUUUCAUGAGGGCACCCAGGUUAAGAGUUUUCUGUGAUCAGUUUCCAUACUUUCUCAUCUGAAAAUUAAAAAAAAAAAAACAAAAAAAAAAACCUGAAAACUUCUUCACUAUGGAUAAAGCUUAAAUAAUUGUGUUCAAAGUAACAGUUCAUUUUUUUUUUUCUUUCUCCACAACAGAAGGGAGGCAUUUGGCACAGGGGUAUGAACUAAGAUUCAAAGGUAAACACAUCUAAAAGGAACCCUCUCAUCAGGUGAUGAGUGUCUUGGGUCUCAGUGAGUCAUCUGGGUGCUGGGUACACAGAGUCAAUCCUAAGUGGUCUCAGGUCAGUAAAGAAGUCCCAGUAUUUAAGUCGUUAAACGGAAUUGUAGGUAACACAGUAACUGGUAGCACAAAACCGAAGGUGCUUGAUAGUGGCAGGAAGGAUGGAUCCGCACUUGAGUUAAAGCGCUGGCCACGAGAAUCAUGUGAAAGGGCGCUCAGGAUGAGGGAAGGACGGAGGACGAAGAGUGACCUUUGCCACGUCUCUUUAACAAAAUAACUUCGUUUAUCUACUACGUUUUGAAAAAGGCACAGUGUAUGUGCAAUCCGACCCCAGUGCACCCGGCCGCACACUGUGAUGCUCUGCUAUAGGCCGCAUCAUGUUUUGAAGGAUCCUUCAGCCAUUUUGUCUGUGUCUUGAGAAAGGAUCAGAGGUUGACACCAGGAUGUCUUCCUCAAUUGCUCUCCACUGUACCUUUUGAGACAGGGUCCCUCACUAAACCAGGAGCGCCACCCCUUUUCUAGCUAGAUGGACUGGCUGGCCAAUGAGCCUCUAAGCUGUCUUUUUGUAUCGGUAACCCUGGGGACCUAAACUCAGUCACCAUGCUUGGACUGCCAGCAAUAUUAGCUACCAGGGGAGAGUUAUUUACUUACUGUUUUAUAUUAGAUAUUUUCUUUAUUUGCAUUUCAAAUGUUAUCCCCUUUCCAGGUUUCCCCUCCACAAACCCCCUAUCACAUCCCCCAUCUCCCUGCUUCUAUGAGGGCGUUCCUCCUUCCCCCAGCUCCCCCUCCCGCCUCCCUGCCCUGGCAUCUCCUACACUGGGGCACCGGCUUCACAGGGCCAAGGGCCUCUCCUCCCAUUGAUUACUUUCUUUUUUUUUAAACACACAUUUUAAAGCAGCUUCCUCAAAAGGCGAAAACUCCCAGUUUAGAUGCAUAAAAUGUCUAUUAUGUCCAAAGCCGCAGUUUCUUUUGUGGCAUUUUGAAAUGUUCUUCCACUUGGGAUCUUUCUACUUUCUUGAGUGGAUUCCCAAAUGAAGUUAAGAAAAAAAGAGAAGAAACAUGAACAGCUGUAAUGUAAUUUCUUAAUGUAAUUCAGACACCUGCAUACUACAGCUAAAGUCCAGAUAGAAACCAAAAACUGGGUUUUUACCCAGAUUCUGUUCUAUUUCUAUUUAGAAUCCUUCAAAAUGGAUUCAGCAAAGGUAAAAGAAAGCAGAAAUCACUGACCAUAUGAACCUACCAUAAAAAAAAAAACAAAACAAAAACAAGAACAAAAAACUCAUUCAGUAUAAAAAAUUACUACAUAGUCAAUAUACAACUGCAAACCUUAAAAUACCACAAGAAACAAAUCGCACAAGGACCUCUGUUACAUGCCAAGAACAUUCUGGAACUGGAGCACUUUUUCUACAUAGAUGAUGAUAAGUGAACCAUGCUUAAGACACAAGAGCAUUAUGAAAACUUACUGACAUUGCAUGGAUGGAUGGUCCUAUCAUAGAUAAUCACAGGCUGUGUGAAAGUUUGUCGUUUGUUGCUAGGUCCUAAAAAUGUCUUAAAUGGAGAACAAAUUAUCUCAAAGACUAAUUCUAUAAUGAACUACUUACACUUACUUUGAACUUUGAUAUUCUAAAGCUCAAUUUGACUGAAGAAUAUUUAUUCUUCCAAAUAAAUAUAGUAAAUAAUACAGUAGCUUUAUUUUUUUUUAAUCUAAAAACAAUGUUUGUUUAAAAUCACUCCUGGCAUUUAAAGACAUAAAUGUGAGCCUACUUUAACAUUGUUUCUUUUUAAAAUGUUCACAGCAAAAAAGCUUAAACUAUACCAUAUACUUGAUUUUCGCCUUCAGGUGUUAUCAUGGUCAACCUUCACAGCCUAGUUCCAGUUCUGUACCUCAGACCGUUGUGUAAUUUUCCAGCACGCUUGUUUAUAUGGUGGAUUACUUAUUGAUUUUCAUAUACUGGACCAUUCCUGUAUCUCUGAAAUGAAGGAAAACAAUCACCAAAUGCAUGCCUGGUGUCUGCGUCAAAUGGGAGCCCCAGGUGCCCUGGAACUGGCGUUGGACUAUUGUGAAAGGCCGUGUUGGGGUUGGUAACUGAAUUCUUACUCUGGAAGAACAGCAAGAGCAUUAGCUGAGUCAUCUCUCCACUUUAAACACUGUAAAUUCUAGGAAGCCUCCCUUCCUUUCGUAGUGCCUCAUGGCUUCCUUCACUCGACAGAUUCCGUCUCAGUAGAAAGAUCUGAACCUUUUGCUAAAUGUGGCUUAUUUUGACCUUUUGAAUAUUCAUCCGCAGAAUGUACAAAAAUAAAACUACUGCUGACCUGUG